rnacentral:rRNA from 1 species
GACGUAGGGGGCGAGCGUUGUCCGGAUUUAUUGGGCGUAAAGCGCGCGUAGGCGCCGUACGUCGAUGUGAAGACCCGUGGCUCAACCACGGGCCUGCAUCCGAUACUGGCGGGCUCGAGGCAGGCAGGGGAGAUCGGAAUUCCUGGUGUAGCGGUGAAAUGCGCAGAUAUCAGGAGGAACACCGGUGGCGAAGGCGGAUCUCUGGGCCUUACCUGACGCUCAGGCGCGAAAGCUAGGGGAGCGAACAGG